UUCGUGGUUCUCCCAUCGUUCGGGGCAUUCUGGGGCUGUUUUGGCUAUUGGUUGCUUGUUUGGUCUUGAGUCGAACGGGUGGCUUCUAGUCUGGUGGCUUCGGGGAUGUUGACCGUAAAGGUGGAUGAGUGGUGUUUGGUUUGUUACGUGUGGUUGGCUGCGGCGUUUGCAACAACUUCCAUGCUUUCAGACCUCUUCAGUUGUGCGGCAAGGCUUGUAUCGCCUUGAGCGUAUUGUGGGUUUUCUGUGUUGGCUACCUAAUCAAUGGUAUCGGUUGGAUUGAUCAAAGUUUGAUUUCGUCUUCCGUCGCAUUUGCGGCGUGAGGUGAACCUCGAUGCGGUCUCUUUGAUCCACCUCGUCGAAGCACAUGCUUUGACGUUGUGGCACAUUGAGCAUUGCUUGGUCUCUUGUAUACGGAACAUAUAGUGGGCAUGGAUCUAACGAUUUUUGUUUGCCCUCAUAUUAGCGUAACGCUUCUCUAACACGACUUGUGCCACGUUUUAG
rnacentral:misc_RNA from 1 species